ensembl:antisense 1700025N23Rik RIKEN cDNA 1700025N23 gene
NNNNNNNNNNNNCCUGUGAUGGGGCCCCUCAAGAGCCUUCCUGGAACCUCGAGUGACCCCAGGAUAGGAAAAGUAAGCACACAAGGCAACAUGUCAAACAUCUAUGUUUCAGAAAGAUAUUAUGAAGUCACUCUGGAUUCUGCAGCCUCCAGACUUAGAACCCUAGGUGGCUGUGAACUUGUGAUCUUCCUGCCUCAGUUUUCCAAGUGCUGGGAUUACAGAAAUGAAAAUGGCUGGCUCUGAUUGUUAUGCUCCAGCAGCAUCACGUGAUAUUGAUACCCCUCCUCCCCCCAUGGCUACUCCUGUGUUGUACAAACAGAGUCUAGUGAUGUCUCCUUUCUCUCUAGAAGCAGGGAAUUAGAAAUCUUUUAAGCGUAGGGGGAAAUACAGACAUAGGAAGAAAAGUUCCCAGGCACCGGGACUCUCCAGGGAGCACAGACCAUUGCAUGAAACGGAUCUGUGGGAAAUGUGAUGACCUCAGCCCUGUCCCUUGACCACAAACUGAGGAGCAAACCCCACCUUGAGGCACAUGGUCUGGCUUCUCCCUGUUUGUACUGGCUGGUUUGUGUGUCCACUUGAUACAAGUUAGAGUCACCAGAGAGGAAGAAGCCUCAGUUGAGGAAAUGCCUCCAUGAGAUCCAGCUGUAAGGCAUUUUCUCAAUUAGUGAUCAAGGAGGGAGGGCUCAGCUCAAGGUAGGUGGUGCUGUCCCUGAGCUGGUGGUCCUGGGUUCUAUAAGAAGGCUGGCUAAGCAAGCCAGGGGAAGCAAGCAAGGAAGCAACACCCCUCCAUGGUCUCUGUUUCAGCUCCUGCCUCUAGGUUCCUGCCCUGUUUGAGUUCCUGUCCUGACUUCCUUUGGCGAUGAACAGCAAUGUGGAAGUGUAAUCUGAAUAAACCCUUUCCUCCCCA